CUAGUGGUAAAAGCCCAGAAUCAGAGGUCAUUUGCUCAAGUCUGAUUAUUGUAUAUGUCUGAAUGACCUUUUUUUUUUUUCCCAAACAGAUGCUGGCAGUACCUUGGAAACAGGAGAUAUUGAGGAAAUCAACAACAAGCUCUGUAUUGUGUGCCCAAAGCACAAGUAUAAGAUCACUCUGGCUGAAGGCGAGGGGUUAUACAAGGCCAAAAACCCCAUGGAAGCAGUCCCUACCCCGCAGUGGUAUUCCAAAGGCAUAAAGCAGAGAGUGCACAAAGUGACGGAAGUAGACGAAGACAUCUUUGUGACGUUGUCCACUUGCCCCGGGUGGAUUGAGUCAGACUUUUAUCAGACUGAGAAGGGCAGGGCAGAACUGAGAAAAGCGCAGGAGUCGGAGGAUGGAGAAGAAGACGUGAAUGCAGAUGCAGAUGAAGACGUAUAGUCUGGAAGCAACAGUGAGACGAGAGCUUCAAAGAUCCUAAGGGAACUGCAUAUAUUAAGAUUGAUGAUUUCAGAGUCAGUCUGCUUGAAUAAAAAUGCAAUUUGACAUCAUGAAUCACAAUAA